CAGGACCAGAGGCAUCACCCAGCUGGGCCCCUACAGCCUGCACAAGGACAGCCUCUACGUCAACGGCUACAACGAGCAGCCAGUCCUGCCCACUCCCCCCCACCCAGCACCAACAGCUGCCGCCCUCGAGCCUUUCACCGUCAACUUCACCAUCACCAACCUCCCCUACAAUUCCGACCUGGCCAAGCCUGACUCAGCAAGGUUCAAGUCGACACAACGAGUCAUGAACACCUUGGUAAGUGACCCAGAAGGGGGACAUAACCUUGCCUGGGCUGGUCUCAUUAACUUGGUGGCAGUGCAGGGAUCUGGCCUGGAUUUAACUGUGCAACCCUCCCCUUGGCAGCUCGACCGCCU
rnacentral:lncRNA from 1 species